UACGUAGGUGGCAAGCGUUGUCCGGAAUUACUGGGUGUAAAGGGAGCGCAGGCGGGAAGCCAAGUCAGCUGUGAAAACUACGGGCUUAACUUGUAGACUGCAGUUGAAACUGGUUUUCUUGAGUGAAGUAGAGGUUGGCGGAAUUCCGAGUGUAGCGGUGAAAUGCGUAGAUAUUCGGAGGAACACCGGUGGCGAAGGCGGCCAACUGGGCUUUAACUGACGCUGAGGCUCGAAAGUGUGGGGGGCAAACAGG
rnacentral:rRNA from 1 species